rnacentral:lncRNA from 1 species
UUGGGGGUGGAGGGGCCAGUUCCUCUGUGACUGACUGGCUGACGCAGCUUACUUGAACAGGUCCAGCCUAGAGAGUCAACUUUAGAGACUGGCAUUUGCAAGUGCGCAACGGUGUUUGACGGGGGACAUAGAUGACUGCUGGUCCUCCUUCAUAAACUCGGCCUUGGAGUGUGCAGCCACUGAGGUACAGGAGUCCUGUGCUGUCCCUGCACUAAUCAGAGUGCUCAAAAUCCAGCCUCUGCCUUCAAGAAGGGAGCAGGAUGUGUAUGGCACCCACGUCCUCUCCAUCUGCACCCGCAGCCACAGCCACAGCCACAGCCACAGCCAGUGCUAUGUCCUGUUGCCACUCACAUUCAUACCUGCAACAUGCACUUAUACAUGUGUUCGGAUAUUGGCGAAGAAGCUCCCUUUCCCACCUGGGGGGAGCCCGGGCUGGCUGCGAUUUCAUGGGGACAGGUAAGAAGGUGCAAACUUGGGGUUCAGAGGGAAGGUGGAGGGGUGGCUGGGAUGCAUGAGCUAGGGGUGGCAGUUUUUCCAAAUUAUACAUUCAGGUCAUGCGUGGAACCCUUGCAGAGACCUGACUUGCUGUUUUUCUAUCUCUUCCUGGUGUGCCGGGCAGUCUCUCUGUGCUCAUGGUUUAACUAGUCUUUCUUUAUUUUUAUUUUAUUUUAUUAUGAUUUUUUGAGACGGAGUCUCACUCUGUUGCCCAGGCUGGAGUGCAGUGGUGUGAUCUCGGCUUGCUGCAACCUCUGCCUCCAAGGUUCAAGUAAUUCUCCUGCCUCAGCCUCCCAAGUAGCUGGGAUUAUAGGCGCCCACCAACACGCCCAGCUAAUUUUUGUAUUUUUAGUAGAGACGGGGUUUUACCAGGUUGGCCAGGCUGGUCUUGAACUCCUGACCUCAGAUGAUCCACCCGCCUUGGCCUCCCAAAGUGAUGGGAUUACAGGCAUGAGCCACUGCACCCGGCCACUCUUUUCUUUUCUUCUAUUUCUUUUAUUGGCUCUCUCUUUCUCUCUCUCUUUUUUUUUUAGAUAGGGUCUUGCUCACUGUGUUGCCCAGGCUGGUCUUGAACUGCUGGACUCAAGCCAUCCUCCUGCCUCAACUAACCGAGUAACUGGGAUUACAGGUGAAUGCCACAGCACCUGGUUGCUCAUUUCCUUUUAGCGCUGAAUAAUAUUCCAUUGUCUGGAUGUACCACAGU